rnacentral:rRNA from 1 species
UACGUAGGGCGCAAGCGUUAUCCGGAAUUAUUGGGCGUAAAGAGCUCGUAGGCGGUCUGUCGCGUCUGCUGUGAAAACUCAGGGCUUAACCCUGAGCUUGCAGUGGGUACGGGCAGACUAGAGUGCGGUAGGGGAGACUGGAAUUCCUGGUGUAGCGGUGAAAUGCGCAGAUAUCAGGAGGAACACCGGUGGCGAAGGCGGGUCUCUGGGCCGUAACUGACGCUGGAGGGAGCGAAAAGCGUGGGGAGCGAACAGG